AUUGAACGCUGGCGGCAGGCCUAACACAUGCAAGUCGAGCGGAUGAGAGGAGCUUGCUCUUCGAUUCAGCGGCGGACGGGUGAGUAAUGCCUAGGAAUCUGCCUAGUAGUGGGGGACAACGUUCGAAAGGAACGCUAAUACCGCAUACGUCCUACGGGAGAAAGUGGGGGAUCUUCGGACCUCACGCUAUUAGAUGAGCCUAGGUCGGAUUAGCUAGUUGGUAGGGUAAAGGCCUACCAAGGCGACGAUCCGUAACUGGUCUGAGAGGAUGAUCAGUCACACUGGAACUGAGACACGGUCCAGACUCCUACGGGAGGCAGCAGUGGGGAAUAUUGGACAAUGGGCGAAAGCCUGAUCCAGCCAUGCCGCGUGUGUGAAGAAGGCCUUCGGGUCGUAAAGCACUUUAAGUUGGGAGGAAGGGCUCAUAGCGAAUACCUGUGAGUUUUGACGUUACCAACAGAAUAAGCACCGGCUAACUUCGUGCCAGCAGCCGCCGUAA
rnacentral:rRNA from 1 species